AUUAUGGGCCUCUGCAUUUUAUUCAAAUGCAUUUGACAUUUGCCAUUCUCAGUUUCUGCUCAUAACCUCUUUUCAACGACCUCAGUUUCUCCCUUCUGUAAAUAACAAAGAAUAGCUAUGAACUGGUGAUAUAUGGAAGAUUGUUCUUUGCGAUUAGCUUGCUGAAAGAACAAAAUAAUCAUUCAGUUUCAGAUUGUGGUUUAUAUGAUUUUUUUCUCUACAGAUUAAUUUGAGAUAUGCAUUGAAAAUUAGGAUGUUCUGUAUCAUUGCUAAACUGAAUUGGGGAACUGUUGUUUUUCCGCACAGAUUUGCAAAUAUCCUGGUGCCAUUUUGGGACAGUCACUACAAAAGGUUUUCUGCAGGAUCUUGUCAAUGUGUUAUUAGAACCUACAACUCACAUCCUCAAAACAUAUUUCAAGUAGAGAAGAGCUCGUCAAGGAUAAGAUGGAUUCUCACUUGAGGUGUAUCUGCUGCAUUAGAGAUGCUUGCUGACAAGUUAUAACAAACUAGGAACAUCGUGUUGACGCACUUCUAUCAGAAAUUCGACGAGAAGCUGAGGCCAAAAAGAGCAGCUCGAGGCCAACUCGCUCUGGAAGCCAGUCAAAGCAGGAAGCUGAACCACAGCCGAUGCUCUGGAGAACAGUGGACGGUCAUUCUCCUCUUGGUGACAUCACAAACACAUACGACAGUCGGAAGCAAUUUAAUCAUUUAUGGUCUAAUAUCCUAGAUAACAAAUAUAUGUUAUGCCAUCAACAGUUUUGGUUUUCUAUUACAGAUAUCACAGUUGGCAUAUCUACAGACCCUAUUUUGCGUGAUGGUAUCAAAUGUGCUGUUCUCGCUCGAGCUGAAAAGAUAAAGGGUGCUAA